rnacentral:tRNA from 1 species
AGUUAAUGAACUUGUAUAAGUAUAUAUUUUGAAAAUAUAAAAAAAGGUAAUAAACCUUAUUGACUU